AGGAUUGAAAUGGGCGAAAGCCUGAUGCAGCAACGCCGCGUGAGCGAUGAAGGCCUUCGGGUCGUAAAGCUCUGUCCUCAAGGAAGAUAAUGACGGUACUUGAGGAGGAAGCCCCGGCUAACUACGUGCCAGCAGCCGCGGUAAUACGUAGGGGGCUAGCGUUAUCCGGAAUUACUGGGCGUAAAGGGUGCGUAGGUGGUUUCUUAAGUCAGAGGUGAAAGGCUACGGCUCAACCGUAGUAAGCCUUUGAAACUGGGAAACUUGAGUGCAGGAGAGGAGAGUGGAAUUCCUAGUGUAGCGGUGAAAUGCGUAGAUAUUAGGAGGAACACCAGUUGCGAAGGCGGCUCUCUGGACUGUAACUGACACUGAGGCACGAAAGCGUGGGGAGCAAACAGGAUUAGAUACCCUGG
rnacentral:rRNA from 1 species